GAAACGCCACGUCAUGAUACCUGACCUAGAACGUGUAUACACGUCUGCAGCACUCUACGGGUUAAUGCAGGAUUACUGUUUGCACAAACUCUCUAUUUAUAUGUGAAACGUAACUCGGAAGGUUUUCUUUAUACAAUUUCAAAAUGAAGACAAUUUUUCUGGCUUUCCUCGCUGUCUGUGCAAUAAACAGGGUUGACAGCUCAAGCGGUGCAAUAGUUAGCGUUGCCGCAGAUGUUUGGAACUGGAUUUGGUCUUUGCUUCAGUUUACCAUUAGGCUUAAAGUAGGUAUGACUUUCGGCCCAGUGAGAGUUGUGUACAUUGAGAAAGGAAUUGGACAAACUUGUGUAUUAUUGGAAAUAUUCAGUGCUACACAAUACCUCUGCAUUCCAUUUUAGUGGAGGCGUGAAUCUAGAAAACAGAAGAUGGUGACAUUGUAAUUGGAAAAAAAAAAUACACUUUUGGAAAGAGAAAUGAAUGUCAUUAUUAUUAUCGGUUUGAUUCAAGCGCAAUUCGCAAAAGACAAGAUGCACGUCUUAUAAAUAGUUUUCAUCAGA